rnacentral:rRNA from 1 species
UAGGGAAUAUUAGUAAUGGGCGAAAGCCUGAACUAGCAACGCCGCGUGUGCGAAGAAGGCCUUCGGGUUGUAAAGCACUUUUUGAGAGGAUGAGGAAGGACGGUACUCUCAGAAUAAGUCUCGGCUAACUACGUGCCAGCAGCCGCGGUAACACGUAGGAGGCGAACGUUAUCCGGAUUUACUGGGCGUAAAGCGCGUGUAGGUGGUUUGGUAAGUAGGGCGUGAAAGCUCCUGGCUCAACUGGGAGAGGCCGUUCUAAACUGCCGAACUAGAGGAUGGUAGAGGGAGGUGGAAUUUCGGGUGUAGCGGUGGCAUGCGCAGAUAUCCGGAGGAACACCAGUGGCGAAAGCGGCCUCCUGGACCACUCCUGAC